AUGGAGAGGAGGGAGGAUCACGUGGUCUUCGUGGAGGAGGCGCCACAGACGGCGCCGACUGGAGCGGGCCAAAGCGGCCAACCAGCCACGGCGCCAGAGCAGCCGGCUGGGGGCGAGCCAGAGGCAGGGGCUGGCCUCGAGGUGCAGCCAGCAUUUCGCUGGCGCGCAGGGGGAGCUACCUCCACGCCGGAGCCGCGCAGAGCUGCGGGCGCCAGCCGGACGACGAAGGCCCUGGAGGCGGCCAGCGCCAGCACGUCUGAGUGGACGCCCAGCGGGGGGACGGCCGAGCUGAACAUGGCAGCCCAGGAGGUCCGAAACCGGCUUCAAGCCCAGGCCGCUUCGCUGCAGCGAUAUACCCAAGAGUUCCUCACGACGCGGGCCGUCAUCAGGGUGAGCCUUCUGGCCUUGGUUGUUUUGCUUUUUUGA
rnacentral:rRNA from 1 species